UACAGAGGAUGCAAGCGUUAUCCGGAAUGAUUGGGCGUAAAGCGUCUGUAGGUGGCUUUUUAAGUCCGCCGUCAAAUCCCAGGGCUCAACUCUGGACAGGCGGUGGAAACUACCAAGCUGGAGUACGGUAGGGGAAGAGGGAAUUUCCGGUGGAGCGGUGAAAUGCGCAGAGAUCGGGAAGAACACCAGUGGCGAAGGCGGCCGGCUGGGGGUGUCCUGACGCUGAGGCGCGAAAGCGUGGGGAGCAAACAGG
rnacentral:rRNA from 1 species